CUUAACUGCGGGACCGCGCUGGAAACUAUCAGGCUAGAGUCUAAGAGGGGGAACUAGAAUUCCAGGUGUAGGGGUGAAAUCUGUAGAUAUCUGGAAGAAUACCGGAGGCGAAGGCGAGUUCCUGGCUAUAGACUGACGUUGAGGCGCGAAAGCGUGGGGAGCGAACAGGAUUAGAUACCCUGGUAGUCCACGCCGUAAACGUUGUGCACUAGGUGUUGGCCUUAAGGGGUCAGUACCGUAGCAAACGCGAUAAGUGCACCGCCUGGGGAGUAUGCUCGCAAGGGUGAAACUCAAAGGAAUUGACGGGGGCCCGCACAAGCGGUGGAGCAUGUGGUUUAAUUCGAUGAUACGCGAGUAACCUUACCAGGGCUUGACAUCUACUUGACUGCCAUAGAGAUAUGGCUUCCCUUCGGGGCAG
rnacentral:rRNA from 1 species